rnacentral:rRNA from 1 species
AAAUUGAAGAGUUUGAUCAUGGCUCAGAUUGAACGCUGGCGGCAGGCCUAACACAUGCAAGUCGAACGGUAACAGGAAGAAGCUUGCUUCUUUGCUGACGAGUGGCGGACGGGUGAGUAAUGUCUGGGAAACUGCCUGAUGGAGGGGGAUAACUACUGGAAACGGUAGCUAAUACCACAUAACGUCGCAAGACCAAAGAGGGGGACCUUCGGGCCUCUUGCCAUCGGAUGUGCCCAGAUGGGAUUAGCUAGUAGGUGGGGUAACGGCUCACCUAGGCGACGAUCCCUAGCUGGUCUGAGAGGAUGACCAGCCACACUGGAACUGAGACACGGUCCAGACUCCUACGGGAGGCAGCAGUGGGGAAUAUUGCACAAUGGGCGCAAGCCUGAUGCAGCCAUGCCGCGUGUAUGAAGAAGGCCUUCGGGUUGUAAAGUACUUUCAGCGGGGAGGAAGGGAGUAAAGUUAAUA